CCCAAACCCCUAACCCCCGAAAAAAUGGCGGCGCCGCCGGCACACCUCCGCCGCCUCCUCCUGCCGCACCUCCGCCGCAACCGCCUCUUCUCCGCCCUCACCGACACCCCUGCCCCGGCCUCAGACGCCAUCCUCUACUCGCUCCGCGGCCUCGCCAAGGACCCGCCCCAGGCGCUGUCCCUCUUCCGGCGCGCGGCGGCCGCGGGCCACCCGCUCGGCCCCGCGGCGUACAACCUCAUGCUGCGCACGCUCGCCUCCACCCCGGCCGCCGCGCAGGCCCACUUCUGGCCCUUCCUCCGCGACAUGGACGCCGCCGGCCACUCCGUCGACCAGGGCACCUACCUCGCCGCCCUCGCCUCCUUCAAGCGCGCCAGCCUAGCCACCGACUACGCCACCCUCUCCGCGCGCCUCGCCAAGUCCCGGGCCGACCACGCCGCCGCCGGCGGCACCCCCCUCACCGCCCUCGCCGACGCCGUCCGCGGGCUCGACCUCGACCAGGCGGGGUCGGACGAGGAGCUCGAGGAGAAGCUGGAGGGCGUCGCCGAGCAGCUGCUGCCGCUGACCGAGGCGACCGUGGCCGGGGUGCUGCGGGAGGCGCGGGACGUCCCGGCCAAGGCGCUCGCUUUCUUCCGGUGGGCUGGCCGGCAGAGGGGGUACGAGCACGGGUCCGUUGCCUACAACGCGAUGGCGAGGGUGCUCGGCCGGGAGGAGUCACAGCGGGAGUUCUGGGAGCUGGUGCAGGAGAUGAAGGCCGGCGAGCUGCACAUCGACAUCGACACCUACAUGAAGCUCUCCCGGCAGUUCCAGAAGCGCCACAUGAUGACCGAGGCCGUCGAGCUCUACGAGCUCAUGAUGGACGGCCCCUACAAGCCCGCGCAGCAGGACGGGCCGCUGCUCCUCCGGCGCAUCGCCAUGGGGCCGGAGCCCGACCUUGAGCUGGUCUACCGCGUCGUGAGGAAGUUCGAGGCCGUCUACGAGUUCAAGACCAAGCACGUGUUUGACGGGAUCCACAGGGCGCUCACCAGCAAUGGCAGGUUUGAGGAGGCCGCGGAGAUCGUGGAGAGGAUGAGAGCCGCUGGCCACCAGCCGGACAACAUCACGUAUAGCCAGCUGGUCUUUGGGCUGUGCAAGGCCGCCAAGUGCGAUGAAGCUCGCCAGGUGCUCGAUGAAAUGGAGGCUGAGGGUUGCACGCCGGACUUGAAGACCUGGACCAUGUUGAUCCAAGGGAACUGUGCGGCUGGGGAGGUGGACAAGGCUCUGCAGUACUUGACAGAGAUGAUCGGGAAGGACUUGGAGGCGGACGCCGAUUUGCUGGAUGUCAUGGUGAAAGGUCUGUGCAGACAGGACAAGAUUGACGCGGCUUACACUUUGUUUGUUGAGAUGGUGGACACUGCCAAGUUGACCCCCUGGCAAGGCACUUACAAGCAUAUCAUUGCCGAGUUGCUGAGGGUGAAGAAACUCGAGGAGGCACUGGGCCUUCUUAAAUCAAUGAAAGCCCAGAAGUUCCCACCUUUUGCAGACCCCUUCCCUUCAAACAUCGCUGAAUACGGGACGCUUGAAGAUGCCAGGGACUUUCUCAAGGCCUUGAAAGGAUCGUCUAAUAACUAUCCGCAGCCCCCUAUCUAUGUGCAGAUGUUCAAGGCAUUCUUUGCGGAGGGGAGAUACUCAGAAGCUCAGGAUUUACUCUACAAAUGCCCCAUCCAUAUCCGCAGGCAUCAUGACAUCACCGAGCUGUUUGAACCAAAAAAAGUUCAGGCUACUGCUUGACUGAAGCACAAUAAAUUGUUGGGCACCUCCAAGCAGCACCUCUUAUUUGAACUUUCACACUGGACAAAGCAUGGGCAGAUAAUACCAUGACUAAGGAACUCUGGCUUUCUUAAGAAGAUGGAUACAUGAGACGGAUUUGCCGCACGAUCGGGUGAGAACUGUGCGGGAGACGCUGCCUGGAAGGCAUAUCCGACGCGGUGGCGCUCUGCGGAUCAGGCCAGGGCGCUGGUUUCUUGACGGAGUUCGGCAUAUGAUAGGGACUCGCAACAGAAAGCAGUCAUAUGUUGAUAGGUAGAUAGAUAUGCUCCCACCUCUUAAGAUGCUUCGUGCAUCCCAUGCUCUAGAUCUAUUAUCCGCGGAAUGUUUAUCACAUGGGCAUCUUGAUAAUUUUAUAUAUCCUUUAUUAUACGGAUGGAAAUGUAACAGUUUAUAUAUUCUAGAAAAGCGAGAGCGCUUGGUUGCUGUCAA